UUGCAAAAAAAAACAACACAACGCACUUUCAUUCGUCUUACAACUGUGCAGACUUUGGUGACUUUACUGAAGCUUAUGUUUGAGUAUAAAGUACUGUGAUUGCUGUGGUGAAAUUGGUGAACCUACACUCUAAUGCUUGGUGCUUAGUUUAUUAUCAGAACAGAAAUUGUUGGUAUACUUGUUGGAAUUCAUCGCUUUGUGAUAUCAAUUAGCCGUCAUCUAGGCGCCUGGUAAGAGCUUAAAGAUAAUAAGUCUCAAACCAAAACUAGUAUGAAAUACAUUAACAAGACGCUCUAUUGAGCGUUAAGACUGGGCAGUGGGGCUGUAGCCUGUAUUGUAAUACAUUUUGAAACCAAUUCCGUACUUUCAAUUUUUACCAUGUACUUAUAUAUAUCUUUGACCUAGCGCUUUUAUAUUUAUAUACGUUAGCAAAGAAAGUUUGGCAAAAAAUAAUACGUAAAAUCUCCGAUAUUUUGAUAUUUUCUAAACCGUUUUGAAGAACUUGUGGCUAAUAAUAAUAUAGUCUGUUUCUACGCUAAAAUUUGAUUGAAUUAUGCACGCGAACUUAUUAUAUUAGUAUUGAUUCCUUAGAUCGCGACUUUUACUCUGUAAACGAAUAGUUUUAACCAUCGCUCUCUAUAUUUCAAGGCAAAUAAUCGGUACGUUUCAAGUCUGUCAAGCUGUCGCCAUAAAUAUAUUAUUACAGUAUUAAUAGUUCGAAGAAGUACAACAACCAUACCCAAAUACAAAAGUGAUUUAUUCGCUCUUGAUAGGCAGUCCUAGUGAAACUUUGCAAAAACAAACAAUUAGCCUUUCUCACGCCGCCAUUUUUGGGCUACUUUUUGCCAAUUCUGCGGGCGUAACACCACGUAACAGCGACAUAAUUUUAUGGAUGUAUGAUGGUAAAUUUACUUUGUCAAUAUAGUUUGUUCUGCAUGAUAUAUUGCUUUUCACAUUGUUAUAAUCGUUUACGAAAAAUUACAGUGCCCCAAAAAUGGCGGCGUGAGAAAGGCUAAUUCUUCAUGAAUUUCUUUUGAGAACUCAGCAAAAAGAAAUGUGUGACUAAACAAACAAUUUCUGUCUAUAUACUGGAACGUCGCCAACUUUGAUAGAUCAGUAAAAUCAGCUAAGCCUACAGUUCAAUAAAAGUUUUGACCUGGUAAAUUUGGAAAACGAACUCAUUAUGUGAUGCAAAACCUGAUACUAUACUUGAUCUCUCCAUAUAUCUAAAAUUUACUGUUAUAAGUUUGGUCACGAUUCGUUGGCGAAUUCUUUAUUAGAAGGCGCCGGAAAUUUUCUAUACAAAACCCCUUGUCCUCUUGUAAUUCUGACCUCCAUGAAAUGAAAAUACACGAAGUGUAAUGAAGUUAUCAUUAAUGUGUCGAUAAAAUCAUACUUUUGAGACAUAACUGAUAACUGAGAUGUAAAAAAACCACAUCAUACGUUAAACACCUACGUAAUAGUUUGGCAUUUUUUAGAUUCACCAGCAGCUAUACAUAUAGCGCCAGUCACGCGGUUUACAAUCCAAAAUACGGUUUUCAUACGUGUAUGAUUGGGUUAUGUGGUUGCUGAUAUAGUUUAGACACACUAACUGGAAAAAAUUGAAAGAGAAAACAUGGUUAGAGAAUCAAAUUCUUUUUCUCUAAGAAUCUGAGCAUAUUUGAAUUGUUUUUGAUUUGAUGGGGGGUCUCUUUGGUAUCAAAAUUUAUUCCACUGAGCUUUCUAUAGAAAUUCACGUCCCGCUUCAAAGCGAAUUUUCUUCUUUGAUAGUUACGAAACGAUUAAAAAAUUUAAUUUAAUGUAAGUUUUCAACUGUUAAAAGACAAAACUUGGCGAUCUUGGCAUAUAAAUACUUUGCUCGGGUUGCUCGACUAUAUGGCCGCGAUGGAAUGCAAAUGCCUUGAAUUUUAAUAUAUAAUAGCUCAAUUCGACCGAAUGACUAAAUAAGCUUUCCUGAUUUUCUUGGCGCUUAUUCUCAAAUUUUAACAACAUUUUGUAAUAUUUUUAUCGUUUCAAACGACUUGAAUUCGGCUUGUUGUGUAGUUCACCUUCAUAUGCUGACUAUAGUGUAAAUAAACGCAAUGGAUGUCAUGCUUGUCACAUGCACGUGAUCGGAAUUCCCACUAUCUCACUUAGCUUCCUUCAGAAAUUGGUCUCGCUUCAAAGCUUGUAAAUCAUUGCCAAAAAAAACACAACGCACUUUCAUUCGUCUUAUAACUGUUCACACUUUGUUGACGUUAAUGAAGUUUAUGUUUGAGUAUAAAGUACUGUGGUUGCUGUGGUGAAGUUGGUGAACCUACGUACACUACUGCAUGCUUGGUGAUAUGUGUAGUUUAUUAUUAGAACAGGAAUUGUUCGUAUAUUUGCUGGAAUUCGUCUCUUUGUGAUAUCAAUUAACCGUCAUCUAG
rnacentral:lncRNA from 1 species